UCGGGAAUUUUGCGCAAUGGACGAAAGUCGGACGCAGCAACGCCGCGUGAGGGAUGACGGCCUUCGGGUUGUAAACCUCUUUUGUCAGGGACGAUGAUGACGGUACCUGACGAAUAAGCCACGGCUAACUACGUGCCAGCAGCCGCGGUAAUACGAAGGUGGCAAGCGUUGUUCGGAUUUACUGGGCGUACAGGGAGCGUAGGCGGUUCGGUAAGCCCUCUGUGAAAUCUCCAGGCUUAACCUGGAACAGUCGGAGGGGACUGCCGGGCUAGAGGACGGGAGAGGAGCGCGGAAUUCCCGGUGUAGCGGUGAAAUGCGUAGAGAUCGGGAGGAAGGCCGGUGGCGAAGGCGGCGCUCUGGAACGUUUCUGACGCUGAGGCUCGAAAGCGUGGGGAGCAAACAGGAUUAGAUACCCUGGUAGUCCACGCCUUAAACUAUGAAUACUAAGUGUACGGCGGGUUACCGCCGGUGCCGCAGCUAACGCAUUAAGUAUUCCGCCUGGGAA
rnacentral:rRNA from 1 species